GCAUAUCAAUAAGCGGAGGAAAAGAAACCAACAGGGAUUGCCCUAGUAACGGCGAGUGAAGCGGCAACAGCUCAAAUUUGAAAUCUGGCGUCUUUGGCGUCCGAGUUGUAAUUUGCAGAGGGCGCUUUGGCAUUGGCAGCGGUCCAAGUUCCUUGGAACAGGACGUCACAGAGGGUGAGAAUCCCGUACGUGGUCGCUAGCCUUUACCGUGUAAAGCCCCUUCGACGAGUCGAGUUGUUUGGGAAUGCAGCUCUAAAUGGGAGGUAAAUUUCUUCUAAAGCUAAAUACUGGCCAGAGACCGAUAGCGCACAAGUAGAGUGAUCGAAAGAUGAAAAGCACUUUGGAAAGAGAGUUAAAAAGCACGUGAAAUUGUUGAAAGGGAAGCGCUUGCAGCCAGACUUGCCUGUAGUUGCUCAUCCGGGUUUUUACCCGGUGCACUCUUCUAUAGGCAGGCCAGCAUCAGUUUGGGCGGUUGGAUAAAGGUCUCUGUCACGUACCUCCUCUCGGGGAGAACUUAUAGGGGAGACGUAAUGCAACCAGCCUGGACUGAGGUCCGCGCAUC
rnacentral:rRNA from 1 species